AUAAUUCCCCUUUUUCUUGCCUUAAAAGUAACGGAUUGUUCCAGCUGCAAUUAUCCAGCCUUUUGUUACCAUGACACCAAAUCAAACAAACACCAUCUAUGGCCAGCUGAGCGCAAAGAGGCUUCAACCACAAUGUCAAGGGGAAGAAGUCAGCUGCUUGUGGAGAACAAGCCAACUUGGCCGUAUAAUUUAUUGCAUGCACACACAGCCAGUAAGUAGAAAUAGAAAGACAUUAAAUAUACAGCUGUUGUGAGACCACUUUGUCAACAGGCUUUUUAUGCUCUACUGGAAAACUAAAUCUGUAGAGAACAUUUUAGCAACCGCAAAUGGGACAGGGACCGAAGCACAAAGACAGAGAAAAAAGUCUCACGGUGUCAGCAAAUAUUCAGUUUCCCAAAAUUUGUAUUGACCUCCACAGUUCCCCUUAACCGCCACUUCUUGCAAGCCCCAAAGUUGUUGUGUGAAGUGUCAGAUUCCAUCAAGCUCCAACACCGCCAAAGGUGGACAAUUUCUACUCGCACUUCUUGACCUGUCAACAUCUGAGGAAAUCAACUAUGCUAAAGCAGGCAGCAGACUCCCAACACAUCGGAGACACAUCAAGGACGGUUUGAAAAAGGGAUUUACCCAAACACUGGCUCUAGCGCUACAAAGGCUGAAUAUUUUUGUGACAGGUUUUUAAUACUGUUGGGUUUUUUUAUUUUAUUUAAAUAAAUAAAAAUUAAACUCGCUUCACAUUAUCAAUAAAGUGUAAAUUCAAAUGUUACAGACAUUAGAGUGAAACAGUCUGAAUACUGUGUAAAUCCCCCAUAUACACUGCUCUGAAUCAAGUCAGCACUGUAUGGGAAGAUUGUGAGUUUUUAUGUAUUUCAGCUCAUACAAAAAUCACACCCAUUGUUUUCUGGCAAAAAACUAUUAUAACUACAGAUUCUCUCAAACUGUAACCAUUCACUGUGUUUGCCACUACUCUCUUAAUUUCAGUUACAAGUGAUUAUAAAGGACAAAAAGACAUAUGCAAAGGCAGGCAUUAUAUGUUUAUUUUGAAGAAAUGUAAGUAAAAAAAAAAAAAAAAAAAACCAAAACAAAAAGUGGUGUUUUCUUCCAGAGAAAUAAGGACAAAAAUGCACAAAUGUUUUUUGUAUUUGGAUGACACCUUAAACAGUCUGAGAUACAGGUAGUGUAAAUACAGAAAUUAAAUAACAAUUGACUAAAACCCCAAACAUAUUACUGAAAACCCUACUUGUGUCAAACAAGCAGAUCCUGUGACAAACCCUAAUUUCUACUAUGGUACGAACAAAACCUACACAAACUAAUAGUGUUACAGAAGCACUUUUGACACAAAGAAAGUCUUGGAUCAAGAGGCUGUUGUGUUCCUGCACGUAAUAAUCAUCUGACAACUGUGGGAAAAUAAUCAACCUGUAGAAAGUUAGAAUGCAUGAUUAGAAGAUAUUGAGCAUCCAUGCUACAGAGAAGUACACUACUGAAAGAAAAAAAUAAUAAUAAUAAAAUCAAUCAUUCCGCACGGCGCAAUGACAGUCUUGUGAGUAAAUUAAAGUAUAAAGUCAGGAUAGUGUAUGCAAUGACUUAAAAAUUGCAGAAUAUUAAUACAAAUGUAUAGAUUUUCACAGGCAGUUAAAUGACCAAAAUUAGACUUUACAAUACCCCCAUCUCAGUCAGUGUUGACAAAUAGUUUACGCUAACAAAA